GACGAACGCUGGCGGCGUGCUUAACACAUGCAAGUCGAACGGAAAGGCCCUGCUUUUGUGGGGUGCUCGAGUGGCGAACGGGUGAGUAACACGUGAGUAACCUGCCCUUGACUUUGGGAUAACUUCAGGAAACUGGGGCUAAUACCGGAUAGGAGCUCCUGCUGCAUGGUGGGGGCUGGAAAGUUUCGGCGGUUGGGGAUGGACUCGCGGCUUAUCAGCUUGUUGGUGGGGUAGUGGCUUACCAAGGCUUUGACGGGUAGCCGGCCUGAGAGGGUGACCGGCCACAUUGGGACGGAGCUACGGCCCAGACCCCUACGGGAGGGAGGAGAGGGGAAUUUUGCCCAAUGGGCGGAAGCCUGAUGCAGCAACGCCGCGUGCGGGAUGACGGCCUGCGGGUUGUAAACCGCUUUCGCCUGUGACGAAGCGUGAGUGACGGUAAUGGGUAAAGAAGCACCGGCUAACUACGUG
rnacentral:rRNA from 1 species